rnacentral:lncRNA from 1 species
GUGAUAACAUCUAUGGCGCGGAUUCAACUGAUGCGGCCAAGUCUAUGGAUGCAGCGAUUGCUCCAGCCAUUGACAUGAAGCUUCCUUGGGCUGCUGUUAUUGGGAAUCAUGACCAAGAGGGUACGCUAUCUCGUGAGGGUGUAAUGCGUCACCUUGUGGGCAUGAAGAACAGCCUUUCAGGACUCAAUCCCGAAGGAGUUGAAAUUGAUGGCUACGGCAAUUACAAUUUGGAAGUUUCUGGUGUUGAAGGAACAUCACUGGCUGAAAAAUCAGUGCUCAACCUUUAUUUCCUAGACAGUGGUGACUAUUCUACUGUACCAUCAAUCAAAGGUUAUGGUUGGAUCAAGGCCUCACAGCAAGUUUGGUUCCAACAAACAUCUUCAAGCCUACAGGUAAGUUAGGUGACACUCAUUUAGAAGAAAUCUAUCUUAACUCAUUGCUCCUAGAUCGUUGUUUUGCCUUCUACAAUAACUCAAACACAGCAGGACUAUUGCUCCUAAUUUGCCAAUUGGCUCACGUUUGUUUCAUCUAUUACAUUUUAGAAACAAAUCGUAGUGAAUCAACUUAGAGGAAAUGAUGAAUUUGAAGCAUGGGCAGCAUACGUUAUAUGACAAGCUUCCUAGAAUUUUGGGAUAGAUGAAAUUAGUAAAUAUAUGUUGAUUCAUAUGAUGUACCAAGUUUAACAAUGCAAAGCACUAUCUUUAAUCAUUCAGAACUCAAAUGUUCAUAAUGUUCAAAGUUCAAUUCUAUUAUUCAUCACAAAUGUUCAUCUUAAAUGCAGAGAAAAUAUAUGAAUGAAAAUCCGAAGCAGAAGGAGCCAGCACCUGGCCUUGUGUUCUUCCAUAUUCCACUGCCAGAGUUCAGCAGCUUUACAGCAGUCAAUUUCACAGGAGUAAAACAGGAGGGUAUUAGCUCAGCAUCAAUCAACUCUGGGUUCUUUGCGUCCAUGGUGGAGGCUGGAGAUGUGAGGGCUGCCUUUAUCGGACAUGAUCACAUUAAUGACUUCUGCGGAAAGCUCAGUGGUAUUCAGCUAUGCUAUGCUGGCGGAUUUGGUUACCAUGCCUAUGGGAAGGCUGGGUGGUCAAGGAGAGCGAGGGUGGUGUCUGUGCAACUUGAGAAGACAUACAACGGUGAAUGGCGAGGAGUGAAGUCCAUCAAGACAUGGAAGAGGCUUGAUGAUCCCCAUCUCAGCACAAUUGACUCUGAGGUCCUUUGGAACAGAGGCUCUAAUGGUAAGACAGAGACUAUGGGUGCCUUUGAUGGAUGAUUAUUGUAAAAGGAAAAUGGGUGGUAGACAAUUAAUAUGAUGUUAGAUGUUUGAUUUAUCUCCUAUUGACACAAACUAACGUUUUUUGACACAGCUACUAAUCUAGGAAUUGUCAAUUGACAGGGAGGCGCAAGAAGAAUCCUGAUGGUAGUAACUCGUGAUCUGGCCAGAAAAGGGAGCGCCAUAUUGGAUCUCUGUGCAUCGAUGUGUAUUUUUGGAUGGCCAAUUUACCAUAGAGUUGCAAAAUGCAGAAAUGUGCAGAUGGGAAGAACAGGAAGAAUACAUACGAAACGUGCACAGACUUUUGCAGUUGUAUUUUUUCCCAGUUUAGGAAAUUACAAAUCGUGAAGUAAAUUGUAAUUCAGUGCAGCUGUCAACUAUUUGCAAGUGGCCUCAAAUAUAGUGCAAUGGUCAAGGAAAUCGAGAAUGCAGUGCCAUUACAGUCUCAUGUAUUCAUGUAUCGUUACUGGCACCAUCUUUCAACUGCGAUCCAAACUACUGGUAAAAUCAAGAGCCAAGGGUUAUUCACGUUUGUGUGGCGUAGCUCCCCAUACAGCAGGGUGGGGCAGCUGCCCCAGCUAUCGCCGGAGCCGAACCCCCCUCUCCCGUGGCGAUCCCGACGGCCGGAGAGGCGACUGGAGGCGGCGUACUGGUCGUCGGACGACUGGAAAAGGAAGAAAACUCAUAUUGGGCCGGGGGCGCUCAUAGUCGACGGCCCAACUAGUUUUUGGCCCAGCGUCUACGUCGCACCUUUCAAGUCCGAAGGCGCCCGAUGGUUCAGCGAGGCGGAACCCGCGCGCCCGCGCCGGCCGCCCUGCUGCUGCAUCGGAGGAGAUCAGGAGGGGGGCGCGAUUUCAUGGAUGGGGGCCGAAGAGAGAGCAGAGGAGCGCCACCGCUUCUCUGUUCGAUCUGCAUCGGCGUUGCGUCUCCACGCUUACCUGCCGCGUCACGUUGCUCCUCACCGGCUCUCUUCAAGUUUGAUCAAUCUUUGUUCUUUGGUAAGAAGGCAGCGCUUGAGUUAGUUCUAGCUAGCGUCCUUGAGUAGUUCCGUCAUGUUUUGUUGUUGCCCGGAUCUGCUGUAGGCUAGUGCCAGCAGCUUGUAGUUAUCAUUUUUUUUUUUGGAUAGUAGUAGCUUGUAGUUAUACUGCAAUACUAGUGUUCACUAGAUUAUUAUAUUUAUGGAUUUAAUGCUUCUACUUGGUUGACUACUACUAAUUUGCUCGCUUGCUAGUUCAGCUUGUCCUGCUAGAAAAAUUAAGUGUUUUCGAUACCAUUUAUAUUUGUCGCGCAAAUCUGCUCCACCUAAAAUUCUGAGCAAGCUACGCUAAAAUUGUGGCUUUGCUUUUUCUUUAGAUGAAUGUGCUGCCUUUUGGUGCUGAGCGCCUCUGUUUCAGUAACGACAUAGGGGCAUUCCUGUUUCUCUGCCACCCAGGUUCAGACGUCCAGUUUCUCUCGCUUCACCGUCAGGCGUCAGGCCGUCAAGGUUGGCUGGCGCGACCGAGACCGUGCGCCGUGCGGGCCCUUGCACGACUCGGGGUCGAUCGGCGUGUUGACUAUGGCAGUACUAAGUAACCAGAGAGAUGGUACGAGUAUGCCACGCGUAUUAAUGGCGCUGCUAUGAGUGGCAUGUACUUCCACCGUCCGAAUUUUAGUUUCGUUUUGAUAUUUCUAAAUUAAUAGAUUUUCUAUGCAUUUAGAUGUAUAUUAUAUCUAGAUGUACAGCAAACACUACGAAUUUAAAAAUGUAAAAUGAUUUACAAUUUAAAAUGAAGGGAGUUAGCAAUUGUGAUGACAUGGCACAUUGUUUAUAAGGUAUUAUAAGGUGAGAGAAGAAAAUUUCACGAGGAUAAAACCAUAUCUAGAUUAUUUCUAUGGCAGUUGUGUCUUGUAUAUAGUAUUGGAAACAAUAAAAAAAUAAAAUAAUGUACUGUGUGUGAUCUUUUUCAUCUAUAUAAACUAAAUGUCCUCCUACUUAGGCGGUAUGUUUGAAACAUAAAUAUGACUUUACAUUGAAGACGGUCUAACUUAGCAGAUUGUAGGAAAGUCCAACGUGCAAGUUCCAGGAUACAGGUGCUACAAGUCUGCAACCUGCCGAGAUAAAGGAUUUGCUGUGCAAUUUUAGCAAAUCCGAAGCGUCCAAACCCUCUCCUAUAUAAACAAGCCAACGACCCCGCUCCGCCACGGUAAUCCUGUCAGUCCCCGGAUUCCUUCUCGCAAUCUAUCUCAUCAACUCAUCACUCCCCACGCCGCAACGCGGCGUCAUGGCCGGCGGCGGCCUCGGCCUGCGCGGCGCGCACCGGCCGGUGGCGCUGCUCCUGGUCCUCGUCGCCGCCGCGGCCGGUGCCGCCGCGGGGAAGGGGAAGGGGGCGCACGCUGGUACCAGCAGGCUGCGGUUCCGGCGGGAGAGCGGGACGUUCAAGGUGGUGCAGGUGGCGGACAUGCACUACGCCGACGGCCGGGCCACGGGCUGCGAGGACGUGCUCCCGUCGCAGGUGGCCGGGUGCUCCGACCUCAACACCACCGCCUUCCUCUACCGCGUCUUCCGCGCAGAGGACCCCGACCUCGUCGUCUUCACCGGUGGGUACCCGCCGCUCUUAACCUCCCUCGUCCCUUGUUAUUCCUAGUCAAUUAAUUAGUCAAUCGAUUUGACCUCAUCGGCUCUUCUUAAUCUCACUUUCAUCCGAAUCAGUUCUUCAUCUCACUUUUCAUCCGCUGUGGUUUAGUUGAUCGGAUAGAAUAACUGGAACGACUAAAUCAGUCAGUGUGUGUAUGCUCGGGUUUGUCAGCGUUUAUUCAAGUAUAUUAUUCUGUGGUCGAGAUCCCAUUCUGAAAAAAGUUCAUUAAAGGAAGUGUAGCUUCAGCGGCUUUGAUUAGUACAAGAAGCUUGCACUGUGUUCUAAGGACUGGAUCCAGGAUCUCCCAAUCCAAGGGGUCCCUGGUCGCAUGCCAUGCCCAUUGCCCAGUCCAGUGAGGCCCCAAUUGAUGAUUGGCCCAGGAUGAUGACAUUCGGCUACUGGUGCGAUGAUGGAUGUGUCCAUGAUGGCGAUGAGGGCCAAAUGGAGCUACAAUCAGUGAACAGUACAAAUGUACUCCCUCUGUAAUUGCAGGUCCUAGAAAAGCUAAAACGACCUGCAAUUUGGGAGACGGAGGGAGCAGUUGGUUUUCUGAUUAUGUCUAGGUUACUGUCAUUAUUUCGUCAUUUGUUUCACAGGCAAUUGUGCUUAAUUAUUCACGCCAAUGAUUCGCACUCAAGUUUCUGCAGGCCUGCAAGCAGAUUAUUUUUAGGAUAUUAAUUUAUGACAGUUUUGUUGGACAGGUGAUAACAUCUAUGGCGCGGAUUCUACUGAUGCGGCCAAGUCUAUGGAUGCAGCGAUUGCUCCAGCCAUUGACAUGAAGCUUCCUUGGGCUGCUGUUAUUGGCAAUCAUGACCAAGAGGGUACGCUAUCGCGUGAGGGUGUAAUGCGUCACCUUGUGGGCAUGAAGAACAGCCUUUCAGGACUCAAUCCCGAAGGAGUUGAAAUUGAUGGCUACGGCAAUUACAAUUUGGAAGUUUCUGGUGUUGAAGGAACAUCACUGGCUGAAAAAUCAGUGCUCAACCUUUAUUUCCUAGACAGUGGUGACUAUUCUACUGU